rnacentral:ncRNA from 1 species
CCAGCUGGAGCUUCCGUCAGUGCAGAUCUCGGUGGUAGUAGCAAAUAUUUAAGUUCGAACAGAACUGGCGCUGUGGGAUGAACCAAACGUUGGGUUAAGGUGCCUAACUUCUCGCUCAUGAGACCCCAUAAAAGGCGUUGGUUGAUAUAGACAGCAGGACGGUGGCCAUGGAAGUCGGUACCCGCUAAGGAGUGUGUAACAACUCACCUGCCGAAUCAACUAGCCCUGAAAAUGGAUGGCGCUUGAGCGAGAGACCUAUACCCGUUGCUGGCUUGUGCGUUGUCUAGCGCCUGGCCGCAACGAGUAGGAGGG